rnacentral:rRNA from 1 species
AUUGAACGCUGGCGGCAUGCUUUACACAUGCAAGUCGAACGGUAACAGGUUAAGCUGACGAGUGGCGAACGGGUGAGUAAUGCAUCGGAACGUGCCCGAUCGUGGGGGAUAACGCAGCGAAAGCUGCGCUAAUACCGCAUACGAUCUGAGGAUGAAAGCGGGGGACCGUAAGGCCUCGCGCGAUCGGAGCGGCCGAUGUCAGAUUAGGUAGUUGGGGGGGUAAAGGCUCACCAAGCCGACGAUCUGUAGCUGGUCUGAGAGGACGACCAGCCACAUUGGGACUGAGACACGGCCCAGACUCCUACGGGAGGCAGCAGUGGGGAAUUUUGGACAAUGGGCGCAAGCCUGAUCCAGCAAUGCCGCGUGCAGGAAGAAGGCCUUCGGGUUGUAAACUGCUUUUGUACGGAGCGAAAAGGCUCUCUCUAAUACAGGGGGCUCAUGACGGUACCGUAAGAAUAAGCACCGGCUAACUACGUGCCAGCAGCCGCCGUAA